AGAGUUUGAUCAUGGCUCAGAUUGAACGCUGGCGGCAUGCUUUACACAUGCAAGUCGAACGGCAGCGCGGGGCAACCUGGCGGCGAGUGGCGAACGGGUGAGUAAUAUAUCGGAACGUACCCAGAAGUGGGGGAUAACGUAGCGAAAGUUACGCUAAUACCGCAUACGAUCUACGGAUGAAAGUGGGGGACCUUCGGGCCUCAUGCUUUUGGAGCGGCCGAUAUCUGAUUAGCUAGUUGGUAGGGUAAAGGCCUACCAAGGCGACGAUCAGUAGCUGGUCUGAGAGGACGACCAGCCACACUGGAACUGAGACACGGUCCAGACUCCUACGGGAGGCAGCAGUGGGGAAUUUUGGACAAUGGGCGCAAGCCUGAUCCAGCAAUGCCGCGUGAGUGAAGAAGGCCUUCGGGUUGUAAAGCUCUUUUGUCAGGGAAGAAACGGUCUAGGUUAAUACCUUGGGCUAAUGACGGUACCUGAAGAAUAAGCACCGGCUAACUACGUGCCAGCAGCCGCGGUAAUACGUAGGGUGCAAGCGUUAAUCGGAAUUACUGGGCGUAAAGCGUGCGCAGGCGGUUUUGUAAGUCUGUCGUGAAAGCCCCGGGCUCAACCUGGGAAUUGCGAUGGAGACUGCAAGGCUUGAAUCUGGCAGAGGGGGGUAGAAUUCCACGUGUAGCAGUGAAAUGCGUAGAGAUGUGGAGGAACACCGAUGGCGAAGGCAGCCCCCUGGGUCAAGAUUGACGCUCAUGCACGAAAGCGUGGGGAGCAAACAGGAUUAGAUACCCUGGUAGUCC
rnacentral:rRNA from 1 species